UUAACACAUGCAAGUCGAACGCACCUUUCGGGUGAGUGGCAGACGGGUGAGUAACGCGUGGGAACGUGCCCUUCAGUUCGGAAUAACCCAGGGAAACUUGGGCUAAUACCGGAUACGUGCGAGAGCAGAAAGAUUUAUCGCUGAAGGAUCGGCCCGCGUCUGAUUAGCUAGUUGGUGGGGUAAUGGCCCACCAAGGCGACGAUCAGUAGCUGGUCUGAGAGGAUGAUCAGCCACAUUGGGACUGAGACACGGCCCAAACUCCUACGGGAGGCAGCAGUGGGGAAUAUUGGACAAUGGGCGCAAGCCUGAUCCAGCCAUGCCGCGUGAGUGAUGAAGGCCUUAGGGUUGUAAAGCUCUUUCGUCCGGGACGAUAAUGACGGUACCGGAAGAAGAAGCCCCGGCUA
rnacentral:rRNA from 1 species